AAAAUAAUAAAAUUAAAAUUAUUAUAAAGAAUAAAAUUUAAUUUUUGUUUGAUAUUUAAUUAAAUCAAUUUAAUUAUAUAUAAGAAUUUUUUUAUUUAUUAAUUUAGAAAAUUAAUAUUGAAAUAUUAAUAAUUUAUUAUAUUUAUUAUUAGUAUUAUUAAGUAAAAUUGAAGUUUAAUUAUUAAUUUAAGUUUGAAUUAGGAAUUGAUAUAAAUAUAUGUAAAAUUAGUGCCAGCAACAGCGGUUAAACUACUUAUAUAAGUUAUUUGUUUCGAUUUUUAUAAGUUAAAAUAUUAAAUAAAUUAUAUUUAAAAUUUUUGAUUUUUUGUGGAAUGAUAAAUAUAUUAAAAUUUUGAAAUAUAUUUAUUAAUUAAUAAGAUUAUUAAAUUUUUUUAUAAACUAGGAUUAGAUACCCUAUUAUUAGGAUGAAAAUUAAAAAAUUAAAUUAUUAAAUGUGAAUCAUUAAAAUAAAAAGAUUUGGCGGUUUUUCAUUCUUAUUAGAGGAACUUGUGAUUUAAAUGAUGGUCCACGAUAAGAAUUACUUGUUUUUUUACUUGUGUAUUGUCGUUUAAAAAUUAUUUUUGAAUGAUUUUAAUUAUAAUAUUUUAUUUAUUAUUUUAUAAUAAAUUGAAUAAAAAUUCAGAUCAAAAUGUAGUAUAAAUAAGAUUUUAUGAGUUACAAUUAUUUUGAAAUUUUGUGAAUAAAUAAUUUUAAUAUUAUUUUGAAAAUGGAUUUAAAAGUAAAUUGAUUGAAUUAUAUUAAUUGAAAAAAGUUUUGAUUAAUGUACAAAUUGCCCGUCACUCUCAUGAUAAAUGAGAUAAGUCGUAACAAAGUAAAGAUACUGGAAAGUGUUUUUAGAGUUU
rnacentral:ncRNA from 1 species